GGAAAGAUGAAAAGAACUUUGAAAAGAGAGUUAAACAGUACGUGAAAUUGUUGAAAGGGAAACGAUUGAAGUCAGUCAUACCAACGGGAAAUCAACCUUUUGAGCUUUGUCUCGUGGGUUCGAAGAGUUUAAACGCCUUCGGGUUUGCGAGAUUGGGAUCUUCUGGUGUACUUUCUCGUACGAUUAGUCAACAUCGGUUUUGAAUGUCAUAAAAUGACUGGAGGAAUGUAGCUUCGAUCUCGUAUCGAAGUGUUAUAGCCUUUGGUAGAUGUGAUGUUUGAGACCGAGGAUUGCAACGGAUACCCUUUAAGGGCUAUUCGUCUAAUCUCUGAUACGUUACCUUGAUGUUGAAAGCUUGCUUAUGAUGUUAGGGUAUUACGGUCAAAAGGUUAGAACGGAUUAAAUUCGUUAAGGAUGUUGACGUAAUGACUUUAAACGACCCGUCUUGAAACACGGACCA
rnacentral:rRNA from 1 species